GGAGAGGGCUCCCUCCCUCCUACACAAACCAGGAGUGUUGGGUGACCAUCAGGUGAUGGUCAGGCAGUUGUUAACUGUCUAGCUAAAGUAAUAAUUGGUCACAGCUGGCACCAGGGAAAGUCCCGCUGUUAAAAGAAAACACCUGAAACUGGUUAUCAGUGAUAGCCAAUAAAAUCUCAGGAGUUGGGCUUACAGGGAGAAAAAGCAAAACCUCAGAGGUAUGCCAACAUUUAAAACCCCAAGUCAAAGCGUCAAGCUGCAUACUAGAUUUCUCAAGUCGCCUGCUUGGCCGUCUUUCAAGUUUAGUUUAUUUCCUUUCAUUCCUGCUCUAAAGCUUUUUAAUAAACUUUCAUUCCUGCUCUAAAACUUGCUCCUCUCUCUGCUUCUGCAUUAUGCCCCUCAGUUGGAUUCUUCUUUCAGAGGGGAAAAAAUGGCGGUUGCUGCUGACUCAUACGGAUGUGGACUCAGUGCAGAUGAGAUCAAAAUGUGAUCUGAAUGUACCAAGUAAUACAAAAGCUGAUAUGAACCUGAAUUCUUCCCAAAGGAAGAAAACUGCAAAUGCCAGAGCCCCAAUUUAGGUCUAUAUUUUUUUCUAAUUUGUCCACCAACAUUUCUCCAAAAAUGAAGAUGUUCUCAUUUUCUCCACAUCCUUCUCAUUAUCUACUUGCAGCUCUCCAAUGAUUAUUAUUAUACUAACCUGUUCAUGGAAAUGCUUUCAUCUAUUUUUUUCUAAUGGAAGCAUACUCACAUUUUUCCAUUUAUUUUUUUCCACUUUCAUCCAAGACAUAAGUUAUCCACCCUCUCCCACAUUCCAUUUUCAAUAUUUGACCUUAAAUAUCUCCACUUGUCAAGAUGACUGACAGCUAACACUAAGACAUCAGGUGCAAUACUGAAAUUUUUUUCUUAAGAAAAAGAUCUGGAAAAAUCUUACUAUACCUUUGAAUAUUUCUGUGUCUUUGAAUAUUCUUUGCCUUAACUCCCUGCAGGACUAGAAACUCCUAACUCUCCAAAUUUCCAUAUAAAAUGUGCAUUCUCAAGAUUGUGAACAUUAAGCAGAAUAUAUACUUUAUAAUUUGACCUCUGUUAUUUAGGGAAGUGUUCACAUUUUUAAAUAUGUAAAAUCAAGUGGAAAUGUGAAUGCAAGUCUAUACCAACACUAAUAAAAUAUUUCUUAUUCUCAAUACAAAAUUUCUCAACUUUUUUUCUGGAAACUGUUCUUUGGAAACCUUACCCUAAGCCCUCAAUCCUUUUUUUUUUUUUUUGAAAAAAAAUUUAAUACAAGACCAAAAAAAUUUAAUACAAGACCCUGGCUUCACUUAAAGUUACUUAAUGCCAGGAAAAUAAUGGAAUGCCUUUGUUGUUCCAAACUUUCUACAUAAGGAAAGUAUAAAAUGCAUCUUGUGUUUCCUACCUAAUUGAAAGGUGCUUUUGAAAUUAACUCUUGACAAUUAAAACUUUUAAACUUUAAUAUUCAGAAUUAAAAAAUAAGAAUAUAGUGACAUGUAAACUCAUUGUUCAUAGAAUGGUAAAUUAAUUGUAACUGACCCAAACCAAUAACAUAUAUCUAACAAACUGAACAAUAUUAGCAGCUGAGUUAAAUCAAAUGUAAAAUGUUUUUCUUUAAAAGGGGCAAAUUCUCAAAAAUAUGAGAAAAAUAGGAUUAUUUUUAAGUUUUUCCCUCUUUCUUCAUUGCAUGCAUUUCAAUGUCUUGGGCACUUUAUUUCACACUUCUAAGUGAAAUUUUAAAAUUUGUAACAUAUUCAGAAAAGUACACUAGUUAGUUACAGGGAUACCAGUUAAUGUAUUUUUUUAAGGAGUAUACAUUUAUCAUCAGUACCCAGAUCAAAAAUAUGCUUCAAAAU
rnacentral:lncRNA from 10 species